rfam:Pan troglodytes isolate Yerkes chimp pedigree #C0471 (Clint) chromosome 11, whole genome shotgun sequence.
UAUUAGGUUGGUGCAAAAGUAAUUGCGGUUUUUGCCAUUAAACACACAUAAUUAAACAUAAUGGCAAAAACCGCGAUUACUUUUGCAUCAACCUAAUA